GGCAGGGGUUCUAGGACUUGAUACUAUUGCACUCGAAAUGCGGCAAGCCUUAACAGGGCUUCGGGGGUUCAAAUCCCCCCCUCUCCG
rnacentral:tRNA from 1 species